UUGCAGUCACUUAGGUAAGUCAUUUAUGACUUAUUAGAAGCAUAAAAAGUGUCUGAAAGAGUCUCUAAACAGUGAAUGUGAAUCCAAGUUCCUAAGUGAACCAAUAUAGAGUUUUUGAUCAUAAUUCUCUGCAUAUCUUUUAGAGUUUUGAGUUAGGAUAGUGUGUGAGUCUUCAAACAAGUUAGAUUCAACCUAUACUUCGAGUUAGGAGUGUCCAAAAUUCACCAAAAGGCCUAAAACGAAACUUAGGGGUGUGAGUUCUUCCAAAUCUGCACAAUCUGCAGAAAAUUCUGCAGAAUCCAUGCCUGGGCGCCCUUUGAUUCGGCGUUUGCCAGAAAUAUGGCGCCCGGGCGCCCCUAAAGGGCGCUGGGCGCCCUUUUCUGCUGUUGCUUUUAUUUUUGAUAGUUUGAGGGGUUCCGGAUGUCCGUUUUGGACGUUCUUUAGGUCGUUCUGGGGGUUUUAGACCCUUCCGGAACUGUUGGUGAUGGUUUCAAAGUCAUUUUCCUUGUCUAAGAAUGAGUUCAUUGGAUUUUGGAUCGUUUGUGGUUUUUUUGAAGUGAAAUUAAUGUUAUAUAUAUGUUUGUAUGCAAAGUAAAGUUGAAGGGUUACAUGUACAUGGUUUUAUAUUGAUUCAGUGAGAUAAUGUCAUGGUAUUUGGUGGUUCAUGUGUUGAGUUAAGUUUCAAAGUAAAA
rnacentral:lncRNA from 1 species